rnacentral:lncRNA from 1 species
AACAACAAGGUAUGAGAGUGGUCACAUGUCUGUUAACUGAAGACUAAAUUGGGGUCACACGAUUUAUUUUAUUUUGGCACUGUCUGAUCUAUGAUGGAUGGCUUGAUGGCCGUCUUGUGCCUCCCGGAUGACACUGUUUGGAAUCUUCCCUAAAGAGCCAGCGACCACCGGCAGAGCAGCCUGCCUCUGUCGUCCGUGGCCCCGACCAAAACCCCUCUCCCCGCCCCACCACACUGUCGUGGUUGCGUCACCCUCGGGCCAAUCCACAAAGACUCACCGUCAUCCAGAUCCGGCGGCGGCAGUACCUUCAACCCAUGCAACUCUAAGAUAGCCAUCUAAGCGUUGCUUCCGCGGUGAACUUGCGCCCCCACACCCUUACGUUAGACACCAGCCAACCAGCAGCCUAGGAGCUCCGCUGGCUCGAGGGGUGCUGCUUUCCAUAUGGAAUCGAUUGGCCCAGAAUAAAAAUUCAGACAACUGACGCCUAAAUAAAGUGAUUUGAGAUGAGGGUGCGACCUAUCUGGUGGCCCGGUGAAGUAGGCAACUCCAGCUACCUAGUCGGUGAGGUCGGCGCGGUUGCGAUGGCUACCGGCAGUAAGGAAGCAGAGAUGUCGCGAUGGUCGACGGCUACGGGGAAGCAGCGCCGGGGCUCUGGACGGGUCCAAAGUUGGAGCCACUCCGGUGCCGUGAACAACGACGGGGGUGAAUCGGCUCUCGUACGGUUCACACAGCCGUCGUUGAGGCAGCUCCGGCAGCAUGGAGUAAGAGGCACACGGCCUAGUGCAUGACGGCAAAUGGGCAGCGUCUCCGAGAUUAGAGAGGAGGGCAGCUUUGAAUUUGGUGCGGUGCGGGGCGCUAUGGAGGAGGGGCUGAUGUUUUGCGGCUCGGGAGAAGGGAGCUUCCGGGGAGAAGGUGAUUUGGCGCCCACGAGGUAUGAAUGGGAAAUUGGGAGGGGGAACCAUGUCUUAUGGACGCAUUUGUCUGAAAUGUGUGUGUGGGGGGGGGGAGUUACAGUUCUACCCCUGCAUUUAGGCUUAUCGGCUUGGGUCUGUGUACUGACGGUCUGGGAUAGUAGAGUAACUUUGCUUCUCCCAAAUAGUGGGCGCGAGCGAUUACGGGCGAGGAGGGCGUGUUUUGAAAUAUAGUGGGUGCAAGCGAUUUCGGGCGAGGAGGGCGUGUUUUCAAAUAUACUGGGCGCGAGCAAUUUCGGGCGGGGAGAGCGUGUUUUGAAAUAGUGGGCGCGAGCUAUUUCGGGCGAGGAGAGGGUGUUUUGCCGACCAUGGUUUGUGAAUUAUUCGGCACAUGUCAUUUCGGCCGAGGAGAAGGCACGCUUGGAUGAAGUUAACAACCUUACCUCGAUGUACAAAGGGCCAAUUGAUGCGUGUCCCACAUAGGCCGGUAAUUUCGCGUCUCCCAUUUAUUUGCUCGGGCGAAUUCCACUGAGUAGAGGGUGUUUAGCAGUUCGUUCAAAUUUUGGGAGAACGAGCAUCCACGUUACCUUAGCAAGUCGAUUCGAAUAAAAUUUUGAAAUAUUAGCUUGCCACUUCUUUUCUAGAUGGUGAGAUGAUGCUCGGGAGUAAUGUGUUUUUACAUGCUCGUUGCCAGCGAUUUACUAUAUGACAAAUAGUUAACCCACUAAAAAACGGGAAUCAAACCCAAAAUGAAAUAUCUCGAUUCAAUGAAAUAGCUCGUUCACGAGGUCAAAAAAGUGAACUAAAUCCAAAGAACACCUCAAUCGAGUAGCAUGUUGUACAGUAUUAUAGUACUCCAUGAACAUGUUGAAAGUCAAAUUAAUGAACUUGUCUGAUAUAUGCAUAUCUCCAUCCAUGUGUGGAUUGUAGACAACAUGUUCUCCAAUUUAAAUAUUUGAAUACAAGUAUAUAUCGAAACAUGGCUUAUAUCAGUCUUUGAUGCAUAAAACGCGACCUCCCCCUCUUCCGGAAUCCUGCUCUCUCUCUCUUUCUCUCUCUCUCUCCGAUAAUCUUCAAUUCUGUCACACGCAUCCAACACACAAACCUUUUUGGUCCAUAUCCCUCUCUCUCCGUCUCUCUCUCUUUGUGUGUGUGGGGGGCGGUUGUUCUAGUUCGCAUGCAUAUAUACUCCAUCUAUAGGUCUCUCUCGCACACUAUGUAUGAUUCUCUAGUCCAAGCUAAAUAUCUUGGGUGCACUCAUCGUACGCACACAAAUUCCUUGGCUCAUUGCCCGUAACUCUCUCACGCACCACUCGAGCGUCUCGAAGCUCUUCCCUUCUCUCUCUCAAACUCUCUAUCUACCUGGGUCACACAUACACAUGCAUAUCUCACUCUCACUCAAUAGACCCAUCUAAAACUCUAUCUCUCUCCCUCGUUCUCUCUCCAUCUCACACACACACACACAAUCUCAUGCCUAUCCAAGUAUGAUGGUCUCUUACUCAAAUGUAGGCACACACAGUCCCCCCUAUAUGUGUAUCACUAGAUAAUCUUAGUCUCCAUCACAAACAUGUGCAUGGUCUAUCUCGAUUUCUCUCUGGGCAUCUUUCUAUCGCGCACACACCUCCCUCGAUCUCCCACCAAUAUAGUCCCCUCAUGAUCUCAAUGAGAUCUCUCUAUCACAAACACACCCUAUCUCCCUCCCCAUGCGUUGAUGUUCUCCAUGUGUCCCUCUCGACCUUUGUUCCUUGUUGGCCAGGCAUCUAUUGGACAUGUGUUAUAGGGGUGUCUCUCUUCGUUGCAAACAAUCACGCACUAGAUAUCUUUGUGUAUCUCCUCACCUCGCUUUCCUAUCUCGGAGAUGCAUGUGUGAUAUGUUUGCAUAACAAAUGAAAAAACACACUCUCUCUCUCUAAUUUAUCGUUUGUUGUCCCUUUCUCUUUCACACACACUCUUUUUGCACACUCACUCAUUCUCCUUCACACACACUUGAUCUCUCUCGACUUAGGCACUCUCUUCGGUCCAUAGCAUAUAGAUUUAUUGAAAAGUCAAACAUCACAAAGUUGGACCAUGUACGUGGAGAAAAACAUUUACAUCUAGAAUGGCAAACAUAUACCGUUAGAUUCAUCAUGGGAUGUAGUUUCGUAUGAUGUAUCUUUGGUAUUGUAGAUAUAAAUAACAUUUGCGUAAACCUGAUCAAAGUUUCCAAAGUUCGACUUCUAAAAAAUUUACAUGCACUGCAUUAUCGAGCGGAUGGAAUAUCUCUUUCCCCCGCUCAGCUAUCUGACGCACCACUCAGCCUUAUCAGGACUCCUCUAUCUCUCUCAAACUUUAUAUCUCCCUGGUUCACACAUACACAUGUCUCGCUCGCGCUACAUAUAGACCCAUCCAACACUCUCCGCCCUUGUUCUCUCUCUGUGUGACACGCACCCCCUAAGUACCAUAAUCCCUCACUCCAUCAUAGGCGCACGCACUCCCCCCUAAGUAUGAUUAUCUCUCACUAGCCAUGUGGAACACAUGUAUUGUCUCCUUCCAUCCAUACCUCUAUCUCAAUAUCUCUCGGGGUAUCUUCUAUCGUGCACACACCUUGUCACUUGAUCUCCCACCAAUGUAGUCCCAUCACGAUCUCCAGGGGAUCUCUCUAUGACAAACAUACACUCUCUCCUCCCCAUGUCUGCAUUUUCUCCGUAUGUCUCUCUCGACCUCUCUCCCUUGUUUGUCAGACCCCUCUUGGCCAUGUGCUAGGGGUCUUUCUCUCUCGGUUGCACACAACCACACACUAUAUCCUCACCUUGCUUCGGUUGUCGAAGAUGCAUGUGUGAUAUGUUUGCAUAAGACACACAAGCCUUUUCUCUACUUUUAUCAUGUGUUGUCCAUGUCUCUUUCACACACACACAAACACUUUUUUCACUCACUCUUUCUAUUUCUCUAUCUCUCCCUCUCUCUCUCUAGUUAGGGAGACUCUCACGUCCAUAAGCAUAUGGAUGUUUUGAAAAGUCAAACCUCAUAAAAGUUUGACCAGGUAUAUGUGGAGAAAAACAUUUACAUCUGGAACAAUCAUUAGAUUCAUCACAACGAUGACUUACUUCAUACUAUCAUUUAUCUUUGGUAUUGUAGAUAUAAGUAAUUUCUUUAUAAACAUGGUCAAAGUUUCAAAAGUUUGACUUUAAAAAAAUGUCGGCACUACAUUAUCGAACGGAAGGAGUAGCUCUUUCUCUCUCUCUCUCUGCUAUCUCUCAUGGGCCUCCCCUCUCACUCAAACUCUCUAUACCGACGGAUUAUACGCUCAUUGUGUCAGCGUAUAGCUCCGUAUAUUAUUUACUUGACCGGUAAACCAGUCCACAUGCUGCCUUGUCAGCCCGUGUUCUCUAUCUUCGUGUGCUGGCCCAUGUGGCAGUGGGUGAAAAUAAGUAAACUAGAGGCCCAUCUGACACGCGGUGAAGUAAACAAAGUCGAAACCACUCGAGGUAGCACCCUGCAUACUAGUAAAUUGAGGGUGCAUUGUGGACACACUUCUUCCGCGUGAAGGAUGCACUCACGCACAAUUCACCACUGGACGACGACAUGCAUAUAAGGACGCACUCGCACACACCUAGUAGGCCAGCACACAACACACACUAGCACACGUGUACACCGGUGACGCCGCCAGUUGAGAUGGAUGGCGAGGCAGCCAACAAGCGGAGGCGGCUCGAGCCAAAACCGCAUCCGGCGAGCCUGGACUUCAUCAGCAGCCUCCCUGACGACAUGUUGCUCAUCAUCAUCGGCCUCCUCCCCACCAAAUCUGCCGUGCGGACCGCCCUGCUCUCCCGGCGGUGGCACCCCCUCUAGCGCCGCGUCCCCCUCAACCUCACCGUCGACAACUGCCUCUGCAACGGGGAUUGCAAACGCAUGGCUGCAGUCUCCAAGAUCCUUUCAUCGCACCCUGGGCCAGCCAAACGCCUUGACAUCCGCAUGUUCAGUAAGACUGCAAGGUCCAAGCCAAGUUCAACGAGUGGUUCUUAUGCCCCGCCCUAGAUGAGCUCGAGGAUCUCAGCUUUGAAGCUGGACGAUGUCGCUCUCUCUCAUCGCCUGCGCUCUGCCUCACGCAAUGCAGCGCCAUGCCAACUUCAGCUCCUGCUAUCUUCCCCAGAUUAAUGUCGCGCCCGUGCUUCUUCUCCCUCAACUCAAGCAGCUCGACCUCUUCGAUGUUGGCAUCUCAAAGCAGGCUAUGGAGCACCUGCUCCGCAGCUGUACUGCGCUCAAGUACCUUUGUCUUGAGUAGAUCCACGGGUUCAUUAGCCUCCUCAUUGCCUCGACGAAUCUCCGAUGGAUUUAUGUGUCUUGUUGGCCCCUCAACAAGACAUCAAUUGGGAAGAGAUCACUCUAGCUGUUCCACGUUAUGGUCAUUGAGAAUGCGCCUUUUCUUGAGAGAUUGAUUGUAUCUGAUCUAGAAGGUCCAACAAAAAUCAGGGUCACUGAUGCACCAAAAUUGGCAACGUUGGUGUACUCGUCUGCCAAACUCUCCAAACUCUUUAUUGGAUCCGUAAUCGUUCAGGUACAUCACUCAUCUUCUUCUCCGUCUUCUUGAAAUUCACAUUUUUAAAUUUCUUCUUGAUGUAUUUAUGACCGUCUUCCAGAAAAUGAUUCCCACAAGCUUCACCCAGUCUAUGCACACAGUGAAGAUCUUGGCAAUAAAAUCUAUCGGCCCCAAUCUGGAUCAAGUUGUUGGAUUCCUUACAUGCUUUCCGUGCACGGAGAAGCUACUCAUCAAGGUGAAACUUCUUUCCUAUUACUAAACGGUAAUCACAACGUAGCUCAAUUUUUCGUAAUUUUCCCAAAUUACGAUGACAAGUGUAGUGUUCAAAACUGCAUCUACGCACUAGACCAAAAGAAAUGUUUUUAUUAUUUUUUCUCACGUUAUCAUAUGCAUCAUUUUUUUGUUGUACUACUAUAGUAGCCUAGGCUAGUCAUAGUGGAAAGUAACUUAGACUAGUAACUCUAUGGUUACCAUAAGAGCAAGUACUACCUCCGUCCUGGUUUACUCUUCCUAUUUUGUAGUAUCAAAAUUUGACCAUAGAUUUAACUGACAAAAUGUUAAUGCAUGUCACUAAAAAUUAUAUCGUUGGAUUCGUAUUUGAACAUAAUUUCAAAUGGUAUAAUUUUUGGUGACAUGCAUUGGCAUUUUCUUAGGUAAAUCUAUUUUUUUAGAAAAGGAGGAUGACCCCCGGCCUCUGCAUCUAGGAGAUGCAUGCGGCCAUUUUAUUGAUUAUUCUCGAGGACCUUACAAAGUAGAACGACAAUAUGCCUGAAUCCGCCAUCUUGGCAUCUUAGGUAAAUCUAUGGUCAAAAUUUUACACUAAAUAUGAGUUAGUACAAAAGUGGUUAUAACGACCCUCCACUAUGUAGGCCAAAACACGUGCCAAAUUCACUUGUGAUGCAUUUGGCAUCGAUGCCCCUCCAUUGCUCAUCUGGUGCCCCAAUCUGGAUCACCUACUUUGCUCCGGUGCCAAAUUAACUCACGCAAUGAAAAAACACUUGCAUGGGAGAGAGAGAGGACUGAUGCAAUAAAAAACACUUGUUUGGGAGAGUGAGAGGCCCGUGUACUUGGUUGAUUGAUUUGUUUAUACAUGUGGGUCUGUGUGUACAGCGGUGCCAACUCUCUCACAUCGCGAGAGCGGUGCCAAAAUCUUUUGAUUUGACAUAGGUGAAAGUUAAAGCUGAAUUUAAGGAAAAUCUAAGACAGGGUAUCAAACUGUAUCACAAAGUCUACAGAUCAUUCAGGUUCAUCAUAAUCUGGAGACUUGGGGGCUGGAAGAGCAUAUAUAAGAUGGUGAAAGUCGGCAAACAUACCUCAUAUUUUAGCUGAAGUUGCUUGACCAUCUCAAUUUUUGAGUCACGGCUAGAAUGCACAUGACUGAGGUAGCCAGACAGCACAUCACUAACAUUCAUAUGAGCGUAAUGAGAGACAUCAAACCGCACCUUCUGCCUCUCUAAAGCCUCUUCUUUAGCAGAGUGUCGGGCCAGUACAAUGGGGUUGCCCGGCUUAACAAAUCGACUACUAGUAAUCAAAACAUCAUUGUCAGAAGUUGUCGGCGGGUUGGCAGAGCUAGAUGGUUGAGUGGUAGCCGGAUUAAGAGUGGUUUCAUCAGCUGACGGCUCAGGAGGGCCCGAUUGAACAUGAACAGCCGGGUCUUCUAGCGCUUGAGAUUGAUCAGGAGGAGUUGGUACUACCGGUUCACGUGCGGGAUCUUUUGGAUUUUCUGUUGGUUUAGUCACCUUAGCUUUCUUGGACAUAGCUUGACCGCUAAGAAAGAUUUUAUGAGAUAGUUAGUAUAAAAAUGUAGUUUUUAAAGAUGCAGAAGAAAGAUGAUUGUCCUUACCCAGGGGUGGUCUUGAAAGCCAGAAAUUGAGUUCGCGACGAGUCGCCAGAAGAGCGAGAAACCUCUUGCAAAGGUGAAAUAAAGUUAGUGGUGUAAGGAAAUAGAUCCAUUAAUAGAAGCAAAAGACAAAGAUGAAAGAAACCUCAUUCUGGCGUUUUCGAGGAGUUUUUUGUAAGUCAGAAGGCGGUUCAUCGUCAUCAUUAGUCCGGGCCUGACGGCGGCUCUCAUGUUGCUGCUUUUUCAAAAGAAAAUGAGGGUCCAAAUAAGCCAAAGGGUGCGAAAACCUUACUUUCCGGGUUAUCAGUUGAAGUUUAUGUCUUGGCAAAGUGGCUGAGUCGAAGGAAAUAGUUACCUCUUCUUCCAUGGCCUAGCUAGCCCCCGUGUCGUCCUGGCAAUAGUCAGUGUCAAUAAGGUAGUUAAAAAACUGGCCAAGGGACUCAAGGGCUACCUCCGACUCAGAAACGUCAUCCGGCUGGAAUAUGUCAGAUGCAGUCUUCUUCUUCUUGGGCUUCCGGGUCAUUCUCCCGGUGGCUAUGGCAGCGGCUCUAGCCUUCUUGGCAGCUUCAUGAUCAUACUUGGCUUUCCAAAAAUCAGAUUUGGCCUGUAAACAAAUAAACAUGUUAAAAGGUCGUGCAAGUAUUUAAACUACCGAGGAUAACACAAAAAGAGAAGGAGGUCAGGAGGUUUUACCUCUGGUGCCGGGUUAAGUUUGCAGAAGGGGUUUAAUCCAACCUUACUGCAAUCCUCGUAUUUUCCGUUCACAAGGAUGGUUGACAUUGCAACAAUGUCUUCUUCAGUCAAUUGUAAAGAGCUAUAACGCAGAGAGUUGUCUAGGCCUCCGCCAUAUUCAUACAUUAACUUGGAUCGGCGGCUUAGAGGGAUCACCCGCCAUGUGACCCAGCAAUUGAUCAGGUCAACUCCAGUUAAGCCAUUCCCUAAUAAAGCUUUAAUCCUUUUGAUAGAUGGAAUAAGCUUCUUGCGUUCAGCAGUAGUAAGCUUAUCAGGGAGCACGAACUUAGAAUCAAGACGCUCCACACGAUAACCCGGCAGUGGUUUUUCAUCAGCCGGUGAUAUAUCUUGGCAGUAGAAUCAAGUUUGGUUCCAAUCUUUAGGAUGGCUUGGUAAGACCACUAAAGGAAAGACGGCACCCUGUCGGCGGUGAAUUGAGAUUCUGCCAAGUUCCAAGCUAGGACCGUUGGUGCACUCAUUCUGGUGGUUCAAAUAAAAGUACUCUCUGAAGAGCUCCACAGUCGGUUCUUCUUGAAGAUACACCUCACAAAGAACUUGAAAAUUGCAGAUAUUGGAUAUAGAGUUGGGUCCAAUAUCUUUUGGACGAAGCUUGAAAAAAUGCAGAAUGUCUCGGAAGAACUUUGAGCCGGGUGGUGAGAAGCCCAGGUUCAUGUGAUUAGUGAAAAUGAUAACUUCACCGUCUUUGGGCUGAGGCCGUUCUUCGUCCAGGUCAGGAGCAUGAUAAGACAUAAUGUUUUUCUCUGGCAAAAAUCCUAUGGUGACAAAUUCCUUUAAGGUAUCCUCAGUAACUAUGGAAGGGACCCAGUUGCAGACUGUUGGCGCUUUUGACGGCAUGAUGAAAAAAGGGCAAGUUGAAAAGAAAGUAAUUUGCCGGUUCAAUUUAUUGAUGAAAUUACAGGUUCAUGAUCAUAGUACAGAUGAGUAAUGGCGACUUAAAUAAGGGCUAAUGAUAUAUAAAGGAAAAAUGAGCCGGAGUCAUAAGCCACCAUGACUAAAAAUAUUCAAAGAUUGCCUGAGUCAGAAUUGGCUAAGUACUGAGAUAAGGAGGUUUCGCAAGUGGUUGCUAUUAUUUUGGAUCAAGAUGGCUCAAAAAGGGAAAUAAAUCUAGAUCUAAACACCAGCAUAGUGGUGUUCAUCAGUUCUAGGGAGACCUUUGUACAAGAACAAAGGGAUCUGUUAGCCUCUGAAAUGGAUGUAAAACAACUACCACAUAGAUUCUAUAUUUCUUUUAGAUCAAAGGAGAGAUGCAGUGGAGAAGCUGCAAGGAAUCUACGACGAAUAGUGAAGAACACAAGAAAGAAACCUCCCAAACCCUAAUGCGGAUCUAUGGGAGGAGAAAGCGAGAGCUUACGGGUGCAGAGCUACUGCGGAGGAUCGCCGCUGUUCUAUGGACAGACUCAGGGUGAUGCAACGGCCGGAGUUGAGGACGAUGGUGCGCUGCGGCGGCGGCAAAGCUCGAGUGGCAGAGAAGUUGCGAGAGGAGGAAGAAGGAGAAAGAGGAAGUACCUGCCUUGCCUAUUUAUAAGGGGAUAAGUGAACGGGCAGGCACAAAUAUCGAGGAAGACCAAAGUAAUGAUUAUCUAGCUAAAUGGACGCCUCGAUUUUUGGAAAACAUUUAAGAUAAGGAUCCGUUGAAGAUGAUGUUGUGGCGUUUUUCCAAAUUUUCUGAAGAUGACGUCAUGGCGGGUUACAGAGCUUUUACAAACAGCAGCAGAUGGAUUUCGACUAAGUGUUGGAGGUUGACAAGAACAAAAUUCAAAUUAACCUGGGGCCUAAUGUUGGGAAUAUGACAAACAGGUAUGACCCGCCCAGGAGGGGCCGGGUCAAUCUUCAUGGCGGGUUAUUUAAAGAAGCCCACCGGAUAUACAAGGAGAUGGUUUAAUAUAAGACUUGUAGUAGGCCCAAGCCCAGAGGCGGCUUAAGGCCCGUAAUUGUAAACCGCCAUGUAUAAGUAAGGCUUGUAAAGAAAGGCAUGUAAAAGAAGUCAUCGAGCCGGACACGAUGUAUGAGCCGGCUGGGACUCUGUGGGCCGCCAGGCGUCCACCCAUGUAUAUAAGGGGACGACCCGGCGACGGCUUAGGGCAAGAAACAACAGAUCGAGAAGCCAAUCUAGCAUAUUUCACUGCUUGGUCAUCGAAACCUAGCAAUACCACAUCAACUAGACUAGGCUUUACCUUCACCACAAGGGGCCGAACCAGUAUAAACCUCUCGUGUCCUUUGUCCCGAUUAACCCCUUUAAGCUUCCUAGUUGCGAUGGCUCCACGACUAAGUCCUUUCACUAUGACAUCUGCCGUGACAAUUCCAUUACAGUUAGGGUUUUGAUGUUUUGGAUGGAAUUUUUAGUCCUUUUCUUGUACGGGAAGUCCAGCCGCCUCAUAAACAGAUGAGAGGUGAUGGCCGAUUAAACAACACACAAUCACAAAAACACAUCUACUACUUUUUCAUCUACAUUUUGUCUCUCCCAUGUUUUUGCUUCCUCGUUCUCCAUCGUUCUUCGUGUUGGAGAGCUGCGAAUCCCGAGGCUCUAGGGGCGGUUGGACCGACCUUGGGCAGCCCAUAGCCGCCACACCCCCCGACGGGGUUCCUCUUGGGAGUGUGGGGUUUCGGGUCCUCAAAAGUUCUCUCUGGUUGUCUUGCGAAUCGUGCUUCCGGUGAGACUCCUUUGAUGUGAGCUAUGGUGCAUCACCCCCGACGUCGAGCGUACACGUGGCGUGUUCAUGUGCAAACACCACUGAACCUGCACAUCUUUACCUCUACGUGCUGGUGAUGAAAAAAAAUCUAAUAAAGAUCUUCGGUGGCCGCUUUUGGAGUUACUCAAGUGUAGUAAGAUUCUAUUUAAAGUUUAACCCAAGAUGCACAUCACGUGGCUUCAACUACCACUUAAUUUUCUUGCAUGACACGACCUGGAUGUUGGAUGUCCCACGUGUCGGCAAAAGGAGGAAGAACUCGACCAAAUCUUCUCCGCAUUCAGACCGGAGGAGUAGGAAACACGGCAAGCCCUGUGCCUACAUCAUACUACUACGUACAAGCCGACCUCACGCAGUCACGCUAUCACCAUAUUUCUCAGCCUUUGUGCGACACCUAGCUCUAGUUGAUCUAACUAGAACUAACUAUUGGUUGGCUCUAUGUGAUGCGGCAACUUCAUACUACUACGUAUGCCGGCUAUACUACUACGACACUAACACUCCAAGAAGUGAGUCGAAAACCAUUUAUAAAUUGAGUUUAUGACAUGCAUAUGCAAAUUUACCAUUCAUUACAUACAACAAGUCAUCAACACACAACGUCAACGAGGAUACAUGUUGGAUUAUAGAUUAGUUCCAAUGAAACAUUCUAGUGAAUACUAAAGUUUUCAUCACACAACAAAUAACAAGCAAUGAAAUGAACUUCAGCUCAACCACUCCUCGGCGUUGGAAAUGCUUGCUUUGAACCAGAAUAGUUUCCCUGGGAAGGGCCAGCUACUGUCAAUCUCGAGACCAACGCAGGACUGAUCAUCCAGGCUGAAACGGCCUAUUUCAUGACCCAUGUUAUGAUAGCCACAGUAGGGAAGCAUAGCACUGCCCGAGGUAUAGAUACAAUUGCUUCUCAUAAAUGGUAGUAACAUUGUGUCAACAGCAGCUGGAUCGCCUUUCACCAUGAUUGGAUAGUUUUGUCCAAGGAAGAGCGAGUUUCCUCCAACAGUAUCAAUACUAAACCAGGGAGAAGGUGUUGGCGCUAGUACAAUAGUAUCCAUCCCGAAUACCCUGCAACGGAUGUUGGAAUAGGUCCGGAGAGUGCGACCAUGGGAGACAACACCUGCUUCCUUAGUCACAUCAGCGGUGCCCUGUAUACAGACAAGAAGAGGUGAUCCAUCGGAAUAAGUUGCCAGGCACCACUGAGUACUCCUAUAUGGGUCCUCAUGCUCAUGAUCAUCAGCAUCGUCAUCUCCCCCUUGGUUAUAAAAAAAUUCAAGUAUAGGUGGUGGAAUGUUCAUAGGACCUUGGAAACACAAGAAGGUUAAUUAGUAAAGGGAAACUAACUAACCCGCAUGCAUGUGGAUGAAACAAUUAUAAUUAUGGUGGAAGAAAAACAUACCGAAAGCAUAAGGAUUCCAUGCAAAAACAUUGCCACAAGUGGUGGCACCAAACACAAGACCCUCGUAUUGAGUUGCAUCACAGUACUCAUCUGUGUAUAGAAACUGAUUUUUGAGCAAUAUCCAUUGAGUCAAACCUUGAAGGACGGCAACAAGAUUGUCAAAGAUAGCGACAACACAAGCAUUCCUAUAACCUGUAACAUCCCAAAAUUCUAAAUUUUGGAAUGUUAUAAACAAAUAGAUAGAUUUGACUGAUUGUUUGAUUGAUUGUCUGAAAGUGAGUGAAUUCAAAACCUUUUUGAAAGUUAAAUGAGAGGGAAUAAAAGGACUUUCCCAAACUUUCAUUUUUGCAUUUUAUGCUCUCCGUGAAUUCAAAUGCUUUUCAAACACAAAACCCUAGAGAGAAGAUGACAUGACUUCUUCCAUUUAAAAAAUGAAAAGGGUGUUUGAAAAAUAAUUGAAUUUCAUUUGGAAAUAUUCCAAUUCUGAAACUUUAUGCGACUCAAUGAUUUUCACGAGAGAAGAUAAAAUGACUUCUUCAAAUUAUAUGAAAUAUGAGUUGGGAGUUUCAAAGAAUUAAAUUCAAAGCCCCUUUGAAUUUAUUUUCAAUUUGGAAUAGAUCAUCAUGCAUAUUUUAUUUUCUUGCAUUUUGGUCGAUCCUAGAAAUUUCACGCAACUCAAGGACCCUUGGAGAGAGUUGGAGAUUUCGUUAUUUUCAUAUUUGAGAGUUUUCUCGAAUUGAAAAGAGGAGCAUUUGAUUUAUUUAUUUCAUCUUCAAUAAUUUUUCCGUUAUCAAAAAAAAAAUAUAAGAGAGGGAAUAAUAUGACUUUCCCAAAAUAUAGGAAAAAUGAAGAUUUAAUAAAUAGAUCAAACUUUGUUUUCCGGUGUUUAUUCGCAUUUUAUUUGGAUAGGGAAAAAUGCGCGUUUUCAAAAAUUGCUUUUUAGGUCCGGAGUAAAGUUCAUUUUGUUCGGCUCAUUUUUAGGAGUCGGGGAAAAUUUACUUUAUUAAUUUUGGAGCUCGUUUAGAUUUUCUUUUAUUUAUUUUUCUGCGCGCGAGACCGUUUAAAAAAAAAAAUCCGCAGCGCCUUGGGCCAAAGGCCCAAGCCGCUAGCCGCCGGCCGGCCAAGAGGCCAUAGCGCGCGCGCACCAGGGAGCCGCCGCUUCCUUCUUUUGCCUAGUCCUAGUAGGACUCUUGUCCUAUGUUCUUUUAUUCCCUAUCUAUUUCUAGAUCUUUUCCUCUUGUUUCCUAAUCCUAAUCUAUUUCUUGUCCCCUACCCCAAGCAAAACCCUCCCCUUCCCCAAUAUAAAUACCCAAGCACCCCCCCUCUAAACACAUCAAACCAACACCUCUCCUCUCCUCUCCGCCGCCCCACGCCGCGCCGCCACACCCCACGCCGCGCCGCCGCACCACCCGAGCCGCGCCUCACCCCGCGCCUCUCACCCGCGCCGCCGCCCUUGUGCAUCGCCGCCGCGCCCAACGCCGCCCAACCCCGCGCCCUAGUGCCGCCACCGCCGCCAUGCGUCACCGCGCCGCCGCCGCCCUGCGUCAACGCCGCCGUCGCCGCCGUUCGCCGGAGGUACCGCGCCGCGUCUCUUCCUUCCCUCGGUUCGGUUUUUCUUAUAAACCGUUCCGAUUCUUUUCUUCUCUACCGAUUCGUUUUCUUUCCGAUUUUUCGCUAAACCGUUCCGGUGUUCUAGAUCGGUUUUUCGUUUCGAUCUCUUUUCCAAAAAAACCCUAGAUUGGUUUUCGUUCUUCUUUCGGACCGUUCGUCUCAACGAACGUGAUCACCGAUUAUUUCCCGGUUAACGACGUCUGUUCGUAUAACCGUUCUUCAUUUUCUUUCUCGUCGGAUUUAUUCCGCGAUCGCGAUCUCAGAUCCGAUCUUCGUUCUAGUUUAUCUUCUCGCCCGUUUAUCGGAAUCAGGUGAUUCAAGCGCCUGGAGUUUCGUCUCAAAACCGCCGUUCCAACUAAUCAACUUGAACAAGCUUCUGCUACAGUAAAAUUUGACCUAGAUUCAACUUGCUAGAACCGAGUUGUUUUCUUCCGCCGUUUGUUUUUCGUCGUUUGUUCGGCUCGUUCUUUCUUUGCAACCGGAGUUCUUAAGUUGAACUUUCUGGUUCGUUCUCUUGUUCGAUUUUUCCCUGUGCAUAGAUGAGUACUUAUUGUGUGGUUACUAUUGUUUGCUUACGAUAGAUCGACCGGAGUGUGACGAGUAGAUCUAUCACGAGUUUUGAGUGCGAAUCAUCUUCAUCAACAUUGCAGGCAAGUUCACACUUUGAUCAUAUCUUUCCUACUACCCAGUUUUAUUGCAUUAGAUCAAACCCUCAAACACUUGCAUUGUUUAGGAUCUAAAUUAAAUUGUGGGAUUGGGAAGUAGAAUUGAGGUAGUACCUAUUACCUGUUACUUAUGAAACCUUGGGAGUUACUUCUACGUUUGCUUAUUAUACUAUGCUAUGCUAGUAGACGGGGAUUGGGUGAGUGAAUAUCCAUGACAGAUGUGAGAUUGUUAAUUAAUGGUUUAUCUAAGGUGGCAACCUAAACACACAUCUGGGUGGAUUGAGGCACCUGAUGUCUAUCAGGACUUGCCUGUUUUUUUUGGACCGCCACCCAGGCUCAAAGGGAUCAUAAGAUCUUUCAUGCUAGAAACUUCCGUGUGCAGCCACAUGCUACUAUGGGAUCUAGCAUAGUUGACUAAGUUGUGCGAACUCUUACGGGGUGGACUAGCAGAUGUAGGGGAUGUAGGUGUACCGGUCUACCCCACAUGUAAGGUGCUAGUGCUUCUGAAAGACUAUGUCUCGGUCAUCCGUUUCUCAAACACCAUGCAGUGCGAGAACCAAGCGGAGGCGAUCGAGUCAUGUGGGGAAAAGUGCGCAACCUCUGCAGAGUAACAAACUAAUCAUGAUUAGCCGUGUCCCCGGUUAUGGACAACUUGAGUAUCUAGUACUUGAAUAUCAUUGUGAAUCUCAACAUGUUACUUCUAGUUAAUGUUGUUGGGUUUUUAAUGAGUACUUUUAAUUGGGAUUGAGGAUGCUGUCAACCAUUCUCAAUGUUUAACAACCACCAUGAUAGUUAAACAAAAUUAUUCCUUUGAUGUAGGGAAAAAUUGGCUUUUCGCAAAAACUGUAACCAUAGAGCUUUCCACCAGCCAAAUAUGCAUAUAGUGAUAGUCAUUGUUCAUUAUUCUCUCUAUGGUGUGAAUUUGCCAGUACAUUCAAUGUACUGACCCGUUUUCGGGCUGCAACUUUUCAUGUUGCAGACUUUUCAGACGACGAGUAAGUGGUACGUUAGGGUUACGAUUUCCUAUACUCAACUUUGCCGUUGGUGUUGAUGGGAAACCACAACCUUGUUGCUUCCGCUAUAUUUUGGAUUGAGGUAAUAGUUUUUACGUUACUUUAUACAUGUGAUUUACCUCUGUUAUAAAUCCUUCGAGUACUGUGUGUGUCAGCAUACUGAUCCAGGGAUGACACAUAAGCACAGAGACUUGAUCCAUUCGGGUCGGGUCGCUACAAGAUGGUAUCAGAGCACAUGUUGACUGUAGGACGUGACCCUAGAAACUGGCAAGCCAAUAGCAAAGAUUUUUCUCUACAACUUUCCCUUUCAAAAGAUCUUUUACCUCUCUUCUCUUCUGAGCUUAUUCAAAUUUCUCUUUAGUGAGACCAUACCCUUUUCCCCUAUUGACCACUCGAAGAUUCGACUGAUGAGACCACUCCAAGAAGUACAGGAUAUCAGACCAGUAAGACCAUUCGGAAUGAAGAGGAUUUUACCAUACAAUAUGCUAAUGGAAACUACAACGGUUGAAGACUCCGAAGACUUGGAGAAUUUGAAGGCUCUGAAGAAUUCCCAAAUUUGUAUGACCCAGGAAGGCUACCUUUAUGGAACCUGGCAGACUAUGGAAGUUAUCAAUACCGAGAUCAAGGUGUAUCGGAGAAAGACCGGAGCAUGGAGAGUUAGUAACUCAAAGUUUUGUCAAGAGAACCCUAAGGCAGGAGUUAUUAACUCAUGGAAAUGACAAGAGCAAAAAAAAAACACGGCUAUCCAUGAUGUUACCGCCCGCCUAUGCUAUUGUCACCAUGCGGAGUUAAGCAUGCAGAUGCAUGGAAGGAUUGGAUGGUAGAAAGCUGAUGGAGCAUCUAUCUGCAAACGUUGGAGUGUUAACCUUAGCUGGUGUAUUCACCAGGAUCUGGAGUGUUACAUCAGGAAGUUAAGAUGGACCUACAAAGAAGCAAUAUUUGACAAUAAGGCAAUUGGUGAAGAACUCAGGAACCAGAAGCUGAAAGUAGACAAGAUGAAGGAGCAAAACAUCGAGAUACCGGAGAUUUGACAGUAACUGAAGGAAAGUAGAACCACGGCUCAGCCACGGAUGUGGAAACCCAAAAGUUUGGAAUGCAAUUCCAGAAUAUUCAAGGAUGUCACGAGAGACUUCGCGUCAACAGAGAUGAUCUGGCAAAAGAACUUGAGCAGGACAAGCACGAUUGGAAGAAGCCAUCGGAGACAUGAACAUGACUUGAAGAGUUUGACGACUUUGAAGAUCUAUUGACUUUUAGAAGACCAAACCCCUGUUACAUACAUACGUUAGAUGCGACGAUUGUGAGCUGUCAUUUGUUUGAUGUUUUUCCGACAGCCACAAUAAAAUCUGUCUUUUCAAAACUUUUGUUUGUAUUGUGUGCAUUCCUCUCUAUUGAUCUCUCUUAUCUCACCCCAAACCCUUGAACCCAAUAGAGGAUGAAUGGAGAUGAGCUUGUAUUUUCUGGACCGAUGAGUCAAAUGGAGACAGACCGAUGGAUUCAGAACAUGGAGGAUCAUAUGGAGAACAACCCUAUAGUCGGAAAGGAUAUGGCCCAGCAUGCUCUUCAAUGCUUUGAAAGAGGUGCUGCUACUUGGUGGAGGAUGUACCAAACCAUCAAUGGAUGGCAAGGAGUAACCACUUGGAAAGAAUUUAAGUUGACUUUACUAAAGUCUCAGUUUGUGUCCUCGAAGUUGAAGCCUUAUGGAAAGGAUAUGAAGAAACCUUGUGCAUGCAAGAUUUGUGGACAAAUCGGACACACCCAUAAGGAACACAAGGAUGAAUGCCCUAAUUGUGAAGGAAGUCACCCAACUGAAGAAUGCCCAACUAGGCAGAUCACUUGUUUCUUGUGUGAAGGGACUACCCACUACCCUGCUCAGUGUCACAUUUACCCCAUGGUACAACGAACCAUCCAGCUGAAGGAAGAAGCAAUGAAAGGAGCCCUCAUGGAAGGUUUAGAAGAACCUGUGAUGAAGAAAGAGGUGGAGGACACACCCAAAGAAGAGCCAAUUAGACCCUGCACUAAGUCAUGCUAUUCAUGUGGAGAAGAAGGACACAUCUCCCAAGAUUGUCUGAAUGGAGAUCUAGUAGAAUUCCCGACAGAGGAAGUAGAGUAUGACCCACAGGAAAUAGAAGCCCUGAUUGGAACGGAAAGGUCCAGGAAGAGAAGUAGGUUGGAUUCGAGGAACAACCCAAUUUCCACAAAGAAAGACCUGAGUCAUAUCACAUGUUUCAGGUGCAAAAAUUCAGGGCACUACUUCCAUGAUUGCCCAAGAAGGAAGAUAAGGACCCAAGGAGGCUAUGUGAUCAUGAGGAAACCUCGAAACCUGUCAGAAGUAAUGUGUUUCCGUUGUAAUGGAGCAGGGCACUUUGCCAGAGGUUGUCCGAAGGAGAAGGAGACUUGUGAUAAAUAGUUGAGUUUGUAACAGAAAUAAUAUAGUAGUGGUAGUGAGAACAUUUUCUUUUAUAUAGAGGUAUUGAAUUGAGGCAUGUAAUGGAAAAACAGGAGAUUGUAAUGAUUAAUAAAGUUAGCCUCGUUGGUACUGAUAUGGAUUUUAUGAGUUGCUACUCUAUGAAGGAGGAUUUUGACCAUUUUUGAGGAUAAGAGAAAUAUGGUCUAUGGAAGAUUUGUGCAUUCUAAGGGUGGUAGUACCCUGUAAGAACCUUGACCCCUGGAAAAGAUAAGGAUACUCCACUGAGUGGAUUCAGACGAAAAUGAACAUGAGUUUUGUCUCGAUAUGUGUGAUGCCCCAAGAGUAUGUGGGAUGAAGUUGGAGACCGUCAGUUGUUUGGACCAAAUGUGAUCAAGGAGUUAGAAGAGAAUGUUAAGCUGAUUCGAGAUAGACUGAAGGUAGCUCAGUCCAGGCAGAAGAGUUAUGCAGACUCAAAAACUCAAGGAGGUAGUCUAUGAAAUUGGAGAACAGAGCAUGUCUUCAUGUGUUCCCUCUGCGAGGAGUUAAACGGAUUGGAGUUAAGGGACAGUUAGCCCCGAGGUUUGUAGGACCAUACCGAGUUUUGGAGCGUAUGGAGAAGUGGCCAACAAGUUGGAGUCACCCGAAGGACUGUCAGGAGUUCAAGAUGUGUUUUACGUUUCCCAGUUGAAGAAGUGCCAUGCAGAGAUGGCCAAUAUUCCCCUAUAAGGACGCUUGACCCUGGAAAGGAUAAUGAUGUUCCAUGAAGUGGAAUAUGGACUUCAUAAGUAUAAGAUUUAUCUCGGUAUGAGGGAUAUUCCAUGAGGAUGAAGAGAUGAAUUACUAUUGGAUAUAAAGGAGGUAUGAUGUUGGAAAUAUGGAUCAAUGGAAAUUCCAUGAAGAGUCUGAGUAAUCAUGUCCCCGUUUGGUACAAAUAUAAGGAAAAGAGACAGUACAUUUGGAUGGAUUUUAAGUAUGCCAGGAAGUUGGAUGUUGGGAUAAUGAUCAGUUGCCCAGAUGAUGAGUUCAAGAUUUGCAAGUGAUGAGAUGGGCCAUAACCCACAGGCCCCAGGACCUGCCAAGAAGCAAGCACACUCUUGCUGAAGGAAAAAAAAACCCUGGAAGAAGUUAUGACUUGUAUCAACCGACGAUUCUAUAGGAGUUUACGCAAAACCUGAGAGCUGUUAAGUAACGAUAGAUGUUUGUUUGGCUUGCAGAAUCAAUGGAUUUUCCGAACUUGGUUCGUCGACAAGAAGAAUUCUGCAAUGCUGUGAGGAUGACCGAGUGUUAGAAUGUGAGAUUCGCUAAACCAUGUACAAUGAAAUGAUUUGGGUGCGGGAUGGAUUGAUCACCAUACCGACUUACUCUUAUUAUUCGCUUUGCUAUAUGGGAUGGUAAAUCCGAGUGACUUACCUAUAGUGGAGAGACGACGAUCAAAACCUUGUUUGAACCUUAGAAAGGUAUAGGUAUUUUUUUUCCCUUGUACACGGCAGUUGUUGCCAACCGUAGGUUAUACGGUGAGGUUCAACCCAGACCCUUUCCUGCAGGAGAAACCAUAAAUUGUUGACCACCACGAGAUAUCGAUAGUUGUUUAGCAUUGGCGUCAGACCCGUCAGCUAUGAAGACCCAAUUUCAGAAUAACCUUACCAAGAUGAAAGGACAAAGGAAUUGAGGAAAAGGUUAUGCCACUACCGGAAGAGCCCAGAGAAGGGAUUAUCCUUAAUAUCUGAGAAGACUGACACUGUCAACGAUAAGGAUGGAGUAUAUGAGUAUUGAUGGAGCUGUAACGAUGUUUCCAAGGGUGGUAGCAUCCCAGACCCCGGAGACGAUCGAUGGAUUUAAGGAGACCCCAAACCCUAACCUUUUCUUGCUAGCCUCUCCGAAUCUCGAGGACGAGAUUCAUUUUAAGGGUGGUAGUUUGUAACAUCCCAAAAUUCUAAAUUUUGGAAUGUUAUAAACAAAUAGAUAGAUUUGACUGAUUGUUUGAUUGAUUGUCUGAAAGUGGGUGAAUUCAAAACCUUUUUGAAAGUUAAAUGAGAGGGAAUAAAAGGACUUUCCCAAACUUUCAUUUUUGCAUUUUAUGCUCUCCGUGAAUUCAAAUGCUUUUCAAACACAAAACCCUAGAGAGAAGAUGACAUGACUUCUUCCAUUUAAAAAAUGAAAAGGGUGUUUGAAAAAUAAUUGAAUUUCAUUUGGAAAUAUUCCAAUUCUGAAACUUUAUGCGACUCAAUGAUUUUCACGAGAGAAGAUAAAAUGACUUCUUCAAAUUAUAUGAAAUAUGAGUUGGGAGUUUCAAAGAAUUAAAGUCAAAGCCCCUUUGAAUUUAUUUUCAAUUUGGAAUAGAUCAUCAUGCAUAUUUUAUUUUCUUGCAUUUUGGUCGAUCCUAGAAAUUUCACGCAACUCAAGGACCCUUGGAGAGAGUUGGAGAUUUCGUUAUUUUCAUAUUUGAGAGUUUUCUCGAAUUGAAAAGAGGAGCAUUUGAUUUAUUUAUUUCAUCUUCAAUAAUUUUUCCGUUAUCAAAAAAAAAUAUAUAAGAGAGGGAAUAAUAUGACUUUCCCAAAAUAUAGGAAAAAUGAAGAUUUAAUAAAUAGAUCAAACUUUGUUUUCCGGUGUUUAUUCGCAUUUUAUUUGGAUAGGGAAAAAUGCGCGUUUUCAAAAAUUGCUUUUUAGGUCCGGAGUAAAGUUCAUUUUGUUCGGCUCAUUUUUAGGAGUCGAGGAAAAUUUACUUUAUUAAUUUUGGAGCUCGUUUAGAUUUUCUUUUAUUUAUUUUUCUGCGCGCGAGACCGUUUAAAAAAAAAUCCGCAGCGCCUUGGGCCAAAGGCCCAAGCCGCUAGCCGCCGGCCGGCCAAGAGGCCAUAGCGCGCGCGCACCAGGGAGCCGCCGCUUCCUUCUUUUGCCUAGUCCUAGUAGGACUCUUGUCCUAUGUUCGUUUAUUCCGUAUCUAUUUCUAGAUCUUUUCCUCUUGUUUCCUAAUCCUAAUCUAUUUCUUGUCCCCUACCCCAAGCAAAACCCUCCCCUUCCCCAAUAUAAAUACCCAAGCACCCCCCCUCUAAACACAUCAAACCAACACCUCUCCUCUCCUCUCCGCCGCCCCACGCCGCGCCGCCACACCCCACGCCGCGCCGCCGCACCACCCGAGCCGCGCCUCACCCCGCGCCUCUCACCCGCGCCGCCGCCCUUGUGCAUCGCCGCCGCGCCCAACGCCGCCCAACCCCGCGCCCUAGUGCCGCCACCGCCGCCAUGCGUCACCGCGCCGCCGCCGCCCUGCGUCAACGCCGCCGUCGCCGCCGUUCGCCGGAGGUACCGCGCCGCGUCUCUUCCUUCCCUCGGUUCGGUUUUUCUUAUAAACCGUUCCGAUUCUUUUCUUCUCUACCGAUUCGUUUUCUUUCCGAUUUUUCGCUAAACCGUUCCGGUGUUCUAGAUCGGUUUUUCGUUUCGAUCUCUUUUCCAAAAAAACCCUAGAUUGGUUUUCGUUCUUCUUUCAGACCGUUCGUCUCAACGAACGUGAUCACCGAUUAUUUCCCGGUUAACGACGUCUGUUCAUAUAACCGUUCUUCAUUUUCUUUCUCGUCGGAUUUAUUCUGCGAUCGCGAUCUCAGAUCCGAUCUUCGUUCUAGUUUAUCUUCUCGCCCGUUUAUCGGAAUCAGGUGAUUCAAGCGCCUGGAGUUUCGUCUCAAAACCGCUGUUCCAACUAAUCAACUUGAACAAGCUUCUGCUACAGUAAAAUUUGACCUAGAUUCAACUUGCUAGAACCGAGUUGUUUUCUUCCGCCGUUUGUUUUUCGUCGUUUGUUCGGCUCGUUCUUUCUUUGCAACCGGAGUUCUUAAGUUGAACUUUCUGGUUCGUUCUCUUGUUUGAUUUUUCCCUGUGCAUAGAUGAGUACUUAUUGUGUGGUUACUAUUGUUUGCUUACGAUAGAUCGACCGGAGUGUGACGAGUAGAUCUAUCACGAGUUUUGAGUGCGAAUCAUCUUCAUCAACAUUGCAGGCAAGUUCACACUUUGAUCAUAUCUUUCCUACUACCCAGUUUUAUUGCAUUAGAUCAAACCCUCAAACACUUGCAUUGUUUAGGAUCUAAAUUAAAUUGUGGGAUUGGGAAGUAGAAUUGAGGUAGUACCUAUUACCUGUUACUUAUGAAACCUUGGGAGUUACUUCUACGUUUGCUUAUUAUACUAUGCUAUGCUAGUAGACGGGGAUUGGGUGAGUGAAUAUCCAUGACAGAUGUGAGAUUGUUAAUUAAUGGUUUAUCUAAGGUGGCAACCUAAACACACAUCUGGGUGGAUUGAGGCACCUGAUGUCUAUCAGGACUUGCCUGUUUUUUUUGGACCGCCACCCAGGCUCAAAGGGAUCAUAAGAUCUUUCAUGCUAGAAACUUCCGUGUGCAGCCACAUGCUACUAUGGGCUCUAGCAUAGUUGACUAAGUUGUGCGAACUCUUACGGGGUGGACUAGCAGAUGUAGGGGAUGUAGGUGUACCGGUCUACCCCACAUGUAAGGUGCUAGUGCUUCUGAAAGACUAUGUCUCGGUCAUCCGUUUCUCAAACACCAUGCAGUGCGAGAACCAAGCGGAGGCGAUCGAGUCAUGUGGGGAAAAGUGCGCAACCUCUGCAGAGUAACAAACUAAUCAUGAUUAGCCGUGUCCCCGGUUAUGGACAACUUGAGUAUCUAGUACUUGAAUAUCAUUGUGAAUCUCAACAUGUUACUUCUAGUUAAUGUUGUUGGGUUUUUAAUGAGUACUUUUAAUUGGGAUUGAGGAUGCUGUCAACCAUUCUCAAUGUUUAACAACCACCAUGAUAGUUAAACAAAAUUAUUCCUUUGAUGUAGGGAAAAAUUGGCUUUUCGCAAAAACUGUAACCAUAGAGCUUUCCACCAGCCAAAUAUGCAUAUAGUGAUAGUCAUUGUUCAUUAUUCUCUCUAUGGUGUGAAUUUGCCAGUACAUUCAAUGUACUGACCCGUUUUCGGGCUGCAACUUUUCAUGUUGCAGACUUUUCAGACGACGAGUAAGUGGUACUUAGGGUUACGAUUUCCUAUACUCAACUUUGCCGUUGGUGUUGAUGGGAAACCACAACCUUGUUGCUUCCGCUAUAUUUUGGAUUGAGGUAAUAGUUUUUACGUUACUUUAUACAUGUGAUUUACCUCUGUUAUAAAUCCUUCGAGUACUGUGUGUGUCAGCAUACUGAUCCAGGGAUGACACAUAAGCACAGAGACUUGAUCCAUUCGGGUCGGGUCGCUACAUAACCCCAAGAGCGGUUGGGAACACGACAAAUUGCUAUCUUCUGUAGAUGAUAGUCACUAUGAUCAUAGUUGAACGUACAUAGAAUACCGGUGUGCUCACUCUUUGGGCAGUCUGAGAUUUUUGGAAGUGGAACCCGGUGACGAGUAUACACGUUCACAAGUUCCCACUCGCAGUUGUACCCAAUAUAAACAACCCAAUCUCCAUUUGUGCCUUCCCAAGCCUUACCCUCAAGCGAUGGCAUCUUAACAUCACACGUAUCAUUAUCAAGCGGCACCAACUUGCACAGGGCGAGGCCUCAGUCAUCCGCACGCUAGUGAGCUGGGUCAUGGUGAAGAAGAUAGGGGAGAUUAAACCACUCCUGGACCCUUGGCUUCCUGGUAAUAUUGUUAUUAGUUGAGUCGAGAAUGGUCUUGAACGAACCUGCCAUGCUAGCCGAGGUGAUGACAUCGCACCGAUCAAUGAGUUCCUCCACCAUGUCAUCAUUCAGAUCGGGGCAAGAAUAACGGGGUCAUUUCCGGUCUGUUCCCUCCAUGGAGAGGACGAUCGAACAAUGACAGAAGGAUGGGUGAAGGCAAAUGGAAGAGGGAGGAAGAGCGUGUGACAGCAGUUCCAAACCGAGAGGGAAAGGCGAAGAGUCGGUGGACAGUUGCCACGGUACACGAAGAGGCGCCCCGGCCUACAUAGACGUCCAUUUGGAAAUUGUACAAAAUGACUCGCCGUCGUCUCACUGACAUGUUGGAAUGGGACACGCUCCCCACUAGCCUCAUCAUUGACGUGUGAUGGUUGCCACAGAGGUCACACACUGACGACAAGGCCGUCCUGUCAGAUCUAGCGCCCGUGCAGGAUGGCUUCUGUCCCCCCACACGAGCGAAGCCACAGAGGUCUAUUUGGGGUUGUGAGUUGGAGUUGGCCUUACAAGUGGGACCGCAGUCGAGGAAACCGACUAUCGGCAAACCCCCACCUCGCCUGCCACGUGAUGGCUGAGUUAGAGAAACGACGAGGUUGAAGAGAUAGAUGUAGCACGGACUCCAAGAAAUAUGGUAUCAGAUGGAAGUCGUGCUGGCGGCGUGUGCCGUACUCCUAGACAUGAAUGCUUGUUCUGGCCCAUGGCACCCUAGUAGUACUAUAUAUCGAGGAUUUGAGGUGCUGGUUACGUAUAGCGAACACAUUAACAUAUGGCCCACCUCACACUGUGGCUAAAUUUCCUGGAGUCUGUGCUAGGUUAAAAAGUGUUCUUUGUGAGGGUGGGUGGCUGGUCUCAACUUUAAAACUUGUUGUAUUACGUAUACGUAAAUGUGGAGAUAGUGUAGGAGUUUUGAAAGUUUGAACCCAAACAUCAGAAUGCAAUUUCUACUGGACUCGUCCCAGGACCUAGGAUGAUGGGAUUCGUAGCUCCAGUAAAAAAACCGCCCGACGCGCGAAGCAUGUGAAGCUAGUACAAAUAGUAGUAGUACUAUUGCUAGUUUCAAAAAGUAGUACUAUUGUUGAUUGCACUCAUUUGAUAAUCUAUAACAAUGCACGUACAAUUAUGUAUUUGGAAAAUAGUUUUUUGCCUCAUCGCAGCACCCACUCAGAGAAGCGACUCGAAAGCCAUGAACCCACAACGACAACGACGAUACAUUCUAGUAAAUACUAAAGUUUUCAUAACACAACAAAUAACAAGAAAUGAAAUGAACUUCAGCUCAACCAAUCCUCGGCGUUGGAAACGCUUGCUUUGAACCAGAAGUGAUUAUCGAGGAAGGGCGAGGCACUGUCAGUCUAGAGACCAACGCAGGACUGAUCAUCCAGGCUGAAGUGGGCUUUGUCAGGACCCAUAGUGUGAUGGUAGGGAAGCAUAGCAAUGACUGAGGUAUAGAUACAGUUGCUUCUCACAAAUGGUAGUAACGUUCUGUCAAUAGCAGCUGGAUCGCCUUUCACCCUGAUUGGAUAGUUUUGUACAAGAAAGAGCGAGUUUCCUGCAAGACUUUCAAUACUGAACCAGGGAGAAGGUGUUGGCGCUAGUACACUAGUAUCCAUCCCGAAUACCCUGCAACAGAUGUUGGAAUAGGUCCAAAGAGUGCGACCAUGCGAGACAACACCUGCUUCCUUAGUAACAUCAGCAGUGCCCUGUAUACAGACAAGAAGAGGUGAUCCAUCAGAAUAAGUUGCCCGGUGCCACUGAGUAUAUGGGUCCUGCUCAUCUUCAUGCUCAUGAUCAUCAGCAUCGUCAUCUCCCCUUGGUUAUAAAAAUUUUCAAGUAUAGGUGGUGCAAUGUUCACAGGAUCUUGAAAACACAAGAAGGUUAAUUAAUUACACUACACCACGCACCGGUGUGUGUUGGGAAAAGUCAAUUUCGCUAACAGACUGUUGGUUGGGAAAACUUCUAACUAACUGUUGGUCGGCAAUACUUAUCUAUCGUGUCCAACUGUCGGUCGGCAAUACUUGAGUAUUUCACGUUGGACUAUCGGUCGGGAAAACUUGUGUCUUCAUCAGACUGUUGGUCGGGGAUUAAUGCCGACCGACUUGUUGGUUGCCAAUUGGGCCGGCCCGUCUUUGCGUGCGCGGGCCGAAAACUUAGCGCCAAGCCUCCCUCCUAUUUUUUUCGUUCAGCCUUCCUUCAUCCAAAUUCCCCAAAUAUAAAUCCUCUCACGCACUCCCUCCGCCGCCGACCGCUAGCUAUCUGGCAGCCUGCACGCUGUUGACCGCCCGCCAUCUCCAGCACGUCAUCAUCGCGGUAGCAAGGUUGCUGCCCUGUCUCCUUCGUCCUCCUGCACCCCCACUACUUAGCCCCCAAACACUUCUAACCCUAUCUUGUGCGCUGGUGUUCGGGGAGAGGCCAAGGCGCGGUGGUGGACAACACCGUCCCUCUCAGAUCCGGGGCAGAGAGAGAGGUGGUUCACCUGCGAGAGAGAGCACUCGCACCCUCACUCGUCACCCAGGAGCCGCCACCACCGCCGCCACGCCAUGGGCUUCCUCAGAUCUGUGCCACCCUGUUCGUUUGAAGAAGGAUCUGGCCGUUGAUUGCUGGUGCUUCCCCUCGCCCGACGGUGGGUGUUCUUCUCACUCUCCUCGCCCUCUCCACCCCUCCCCAGUCGGGGCUUCUUUUAGUUGAUUUGUUUGCUUUUCCCUUUUCCGUUCAGAUCUGCCAUGACUUGGGAUAGUACUUCUGUCCAGCAAGCAGCGCUUUGGCUGGGAGCUCAAGCUCAAGCAGAACGUCAAAAACAUGGGCUCUAUCUGCUAAUGGGGUAGCCGGCAAUGCAGUCUAAGGGCUGGCUACUGCUCAUCUGAUUUCUGGAUAUGAGAGGAUGAGAACUUGAGAAGAACAAGCUUGAUGCUAUGAUUGCAAAAAAAUCUGUACUACAGGUAUUCCUUUCAGUACUGUUGCAGCAAUCCUUAAUUAGCUACUAUUUUAUGAACUGAAUGUGAUUGAUUUGUGAACUUUAGAGCUUGUAAGUUGUAAUUUGUGAUUUCAUAGGAUGCUUGAAGGUCAAUAGAAGGGUAUUAUUCCUAUGAAAAUUCAUUACUUUCUAUAUAUAUAUAUAAAUUUAUCCACAUAUAUGUGCUUUGAUACGAGGGACAAACCUGAGAACUAGCUUCAGAUUCCACAAAAAAGUCCAAAUAAUCAUACUAAUGUUUCAGAUUUUUAGUUAAGCAUUGUAGAAUUCUGGCAAACAGAGGAGUAUAUUAAAUCUUCAUCCUCUGAACUAGGUGAGAGUUAAGACACACCAUACACAGGCUCUGUAAGAUGGCGGAAAUAUUCCUCUUCGUCAACGACUUCUACGAGGACGAUAUUGACCUAGAGGCUGGAGCUUUGCUACUCCUUCCGGCCAACAACAAGGCAUCGUUUACUUUUUCUCUCCCCACAUCCAAUACUUCCCUGUUCCUGUCCCUACCGCUUAUUUCUUGCUAUAGGGCAACACACUACAAGUGUUUGAUAAACUGUUAGUCUCAAUGCUCCAAUUCUGGCAGAAGGAUUUUCGGUAGGAAGACAUAGCACCAAUCAAGGAUUUUCGGUAGGAAGACAUAGCAUCACUCAUGGUUAUAUAUAUUUACUAUUGUAUUUCUGUAUUUUUGCAAAAUUAGUUCUGUGAAGCUUCUAGAUUAUUUUAGUUCUUCAGUGGUUUUACCCUUAGGCUUAGCUUGUAUUAACUUACAACUUUUUUCUCCAUAAUUUUGCAACAAUAGUUCUAUAGUACUUAAUACAGUUUUUCUAGAAUCAUGAUAAAAUACAUAUAUAUCUAGCCGUUUGUAUUUCGACGGUCAUGUUUCUAAAGAUUUUAAAGUUUUAUUUUCACUAUAAAUUUGCUUUAGUUGUUCUGUAACUUCCAGCAUAGUUCAGUUAAGGGGUUCUAGUCUUAGGCUUGUAUAAACUUACAACAUCUUUCAUUUGCAAUGACAAUGGUUUCACAACUGUAGACAGUUCAUCUUUAUAAGGCCAUUGUAUCCAUGAAGAAAUUUGUUACUUAUUUCUGAAUACAUCUCGUACUGUUUAUCGCAUUUUAAGAUAUGGCAUGAAGCUAGCUAAGGGCUUUUAUUAUUUCUAGCAGCAUGUGAUUCACUGAACAAAAAAAGGACUGCACUCACAUAUGAAAUGCUUGCAAGUUAUAGAAAAAUGAAGCAAAGGACCAACGGUGUAGGUAAGGGCUUUAAUUUGUUAGUACUCCAUUUGCUAUGCAUCAAGAUUCAAUCAAGUAGGAUUCCCCGUGUAUUUGCAGUUUUUACAUAGUGUUUUGCAUGUGAAUUGUGGUCACUACUAUCAAUUCAUGGAAAUUUAAAUGUAUAGUGAUGGAUGAAACGAAUGGAACCUAUAUCCUGGGUUCCCAGUACUAUACUGUUGCUUCAAAAACACUUGUAUGUACAGAUAGUUUCUCUUGGAUAUCAUAAGUAAACGUUCUUGAGAUAAAUUUCGCUCAGUUUUUUAGUGGGGAAGGAAAGCUUCAUGAUAUUCCAUUUAAAGCGCUGAUAUCUAUUUGAAAAUUAAUUUAAGUGCAUACCUCCUCGAUCCUAACAGUAUUUGUGUACUGUAUAGGAGAAAUCUUCUCAGUUUCUGAAUCCUGAGCAGUAGCAAGUCAGGUGCUUAAUGGUGAUCCUACCACGCAUAUGUCAUAAGCAGGUUAGUUCUAAAAAGGUCAUUGUUAAUUCGCCCGCGUCUGUCCCGCAAUUGCCACAACUUAGUGCAGUGAGAUCAGACGAUGGUCGUCAAUUUAAUCUAAUUUGUGGCACUGAAGUACAGAUGCUUUUAUGAAUAUAAUAGUCAGGUGCAGUGUAAGUUCAGAUGCUUUUUGUUUGGUAUUUUGCAAGUCCUCAUGUGCUUAGUACUGCAUUUAGAAAUGAUUAAGAAUAGAUUCUUAUCCUUGAGAUUCGUUUCUAACAUUGGGAAAGUAUGUCUAACCUCCUGAUGUACGUGUGUUUUUGAGAAUGCUUUUCCCAGGGCAUGCUGCACUCGUCAUUGAAACUCCUAGCUGUGUAUUAGAUAGUAAUCAUUUUGCCUAAUGCAUUGCCAUCUAGGGCAGCAAAGUGCGGUCUUUUCCACCCCAGAGAAGAAAAAGAAAGAAAACUAGUGUAGUUUUUUCUUCAAAAAUGACUUUCGUGUGUCCGUUGGUGGAUGUGUUUCUCCCAAUAAUUGGGUCUGGACAUGUUAAAUUGUUGCCCUAUGGCCAGAUGAUGCAUAUGCUCCUUUUCCAUUUAAUAUACUUCCUAGUCUGCGGCUUGAGGAGAUUGAUGCAUGCUAUAUGGUGGGUCGGUGUGGCAUUGAUGCUUUAUUAUGUCUAACACAUCACAAAUUCUAAUUAGAACAUGCCCUGUUUUUAUAAUACUAAAAUCCCAGUUUGUUUUUGCCAUUGAUGCUUUAUACAAUUAUUAUUUUUGCCAUUAUCUCCAUGAAUGCAAGAAUUCACCAGUGACCCUUUUAUCCUUUGUAGGAAUGACAUGCAAGAGAACCAGGAAGGAACCAUGAAGAUGGCAGUUUGCAUCAGCUAGACAUUUUGUGUAAUGGAGCAAAUACAAUGUGUCUUUUAGUUAUCGUUUUGUAAACCUAUAUGGUGUCUUGUCAACUGGGUAUUUUGUGUAAAGGAGCAAACAAUGAAUCGUCAGACAUGCAUCUAUCAUUUUGUAAACCAAUCAGGUGUCUUGGUGAUUGAAACAUAAAUGUUUCCUCCUUUCAAUUAGUUACUUUUACCUAUAAGAACAUUCUUCUUUGGUUGUGGUUUAAUAUUUUCAGAGUUCAUGCAAGUUUCCAUUGCAAUGAG